CCUUUCCUUUGCUCCAGAGGGAGACCCCGGGUCUUCCAAAGCCGUUCACGCCACAAAUCCUCUUGAAAAGCUACUCCAGAACAGUGUCAGUCAGCUCAGAACUGCACAGGAGCAUGAGAGAUCCGUGGGAAACGACGGCCUCAACACUAGUUAGUGAUCAUGAACAAGCUCCAACCUCUCUGAGUCUCAUCUUGUUUUCAUCAGUAACACGUACAGUAAGACCUCGGAUUGCGAGUAACUUGCUCUGCGAGUGUUCCGCAAGACGAGCAAACAUUUCUAAUAAAUUUUAACUUGAUAAAUGAGUGAUGUCUUGCAAUAUGAGUAGCACAAGAUGCCAAAUAUCAUAUGAUCACAACUGAGCCAAUGGUUCUUCUCUCUUUCUCUCUCUCACUGCAGGAUUAUGGGUGAUCACCUCUCAUGCUCGGAUGCUUGGUCUCAAGCCACGGUGUUUGGCAGAAAUCAGUGAUUUUUCAGAACGCUGGAAGGUGCCCAUAACUGGCACUAGUGUAUUUUUUUGUACCUUCAAAGCACCUCUGGACAGUCCUUUGCUUCUCCAGACAAGAGGAAGCAUCGGAAUGCUUUGCUUCAUUCUAGGCACGCAGAGCAAAGGCCAUGUGAGGACCUAGCAAAAAUGCAGCCAUCUGCAAGCUGAGGAGAGAGGCCUCACCAGAAACCAAACCUGCUGGCACCUUGAUCUUGGACCUCCAGUUUCCAGAACCGUUUGAGCCACCCAGUGCGUGGCAUUUUGUUAUGGCAGCCGAAACAGACUAAUGCAAGGUCCGACACAUGCUACAACAUAUAUGAAACUUGAAAACAUUAUUCUAAGUGAAAGAAGCUAAUUGCAAAAACAACCACGUAUAUGAUUCCAUGGAUAUGAAAUGCCCAGAAUAGGCAAAUCUACAGAGACAGAAAGAAUAUUCGUGCUUGCUUAGGGCUGGGAGGAUGGAGGGAUGGGGAGUUAAUAGCUGAAAGUAUGGAAUUUCUUUCUGAGGUGAUGAAAAUGUUCGAAAAUUGAAUACGGUGAUGGCUGCAUGUAUCUGUGACGAUACUAAAAACCAUCAGUUGUAGACUAAAAAUGGGUAAACUGUAUGGGCUGUUAAUUGUGUGUCAAUAAAGUUGUUAAAAUAUAUAUAUGUAGGGGUGCCUGGGUGGCUCGGUCGGUUGAGUGUCCGACUCCUGAUUUCGGCUUGGGUCGUGAUUCCAGGGUUGUGGGUUUGAGCCCCACAUUGGGCUCUGUGCUGAGCGUGGAGCCUGCUUGAGAUUCUCUCUCUCUCUCUCUCUCUCUCUCUCUCUCUCUCUCUCUCUCUCUUUUGCCCUCUGCCCCUCUACCCACUCAUGAUCUCUCUCCCUCUCUCUCUUUAAAAAUUAAAAAAAAAAAUAGGGGUGCCUGGGUGGCUUAGUCGGUUAAGCUUCCAACUUCAGCUCAGGUCAUGAUCUCACGGUCCGUGAGUUUGAGCCCCGCGUUGGGCUCUGUGCUCAGUUUAGAGCCUGGAGCCUGCUUCAGAUUCUGUGUCGCCCUCUCUCUCUGCCCCUCCCCCACUCACACUCUGUCUCUCUCUGUGUCUCAAAAAAUGAAUAAACGUUAAAAAAAUUUAAAAAUUAAAAAAA